UCACUGCUGAGGAGUCUCAUAAUAGGACGAAAUGGCCGUCCAGUGC
rnacentral:hammerhead_ribozyme from 1 species